UGGCCAGCACUUCGGGUGGGGACUCAUGGGAGACUGCCGGGGUCAACUCGGAGGAAGGUGGGGACGACGUCAAAUCAUCAUGCCCCUUAUGUCUUGGGCUUCACGCAUGCUACAAUGGCCGGUACAAAGGGUUGCGAUACUGUGAGGUGGAGCCAAUCCCAGAAAGCCGGUCUCAGUUCGGAUUGGGGUCUGCAACUCGGCCCCAUGAAGUCGGAGUCGCUAGUAAUCGCAGAUCAGCAACGCUGCGGUGAAUACGUUCCCGGGCCUUGUACACACCGCCCGUCAAGUCACGAAAGUCGGUAACACCCGAAGCCGGUGGCCCAACCCCUCGUGGGGGGGAGCCGUCGAAGGUGGGACUGGCGAUUGGGACUAANUCCUAACAAGGUAGCCGUACCGGAA
rnacentral:rRNA from 1 species